rnacentral:pre_miRNA from 1 species
AACAGAAGAACAUAUAAGGAUAGCCAAGGAGACUGCCUGAUAUCUUUUUUAUAAGCAAAAUGGUCAUUGCUUGAUACAACUUAUAGUGACUUCAAACAAGACACUAAACAUUUUACACAAAGAGUCAGGCAAGUCAUCCUUGGCUACCAAAUAUGAUUCUUCUAU